AUUGAACGCUGGCGGCAGGCUUAACACAUGCAAGUCGAGCGGAGAUGAGGUGCUUGCACCUUAUCUUAGCGGCGGACGGGUGAGUAAUGCUUAGGAAUCUGCCUAUUAGUGGGGGACAACAUUCCGAAAGGAAUGCUAAUACCGCAUACGUCCUACGGGAGAAAGCAGGGGAUCUUCGGACCUUGCGCUAAUAGAUGAGCCUAAGUCGGAUUAGCUAGUUGGUGGGGUAAAGGCCUACCAAGGCGACGAUCUGUAGCGGGUCUGAGAGGAUGAUCCGCCACACGGGGACUGAGCCACGGCCCAGACUCCUACGGGAGGCAGCAGGGGGGAAUAUUGGACAAUGGGGGGAACCCUGAUCCAGCCAUGCCGCGUGUGUGAAGAAGGCCUUAUGGUUGUAAAGCACUUUAAGCGAGGAGGAGGCUACUGAGACUAAUACUCUUGGAUAGUGGACGUUACUCGCAGAAUAAGCACCGGCUAACUCUGUGCCAGCCGCCGCAGUAA
rnacentral:rRNA from 1 species